UACCCCCUGCGGUGUUCGUGACGGCUCAAAAAUUCCUUUGAACCAAUGCGUUCGCUUGGUUGCUGGCAUUGAGUAGCACUGGCGCGCCGCGUCCUUUUAGGAUGCGCCCGAUGUGUGAGGCAGGCGACCCCCUGGAGACAGGGUUCAAGCGAAUUUAGCCCGAACGGCACUCGCGGGGGCCUC
rnacentral:other from 1 species